UACGAAGGGGGCUAGCGUUGCUCGGAAUUACUGGGCGUAAAGCGCACGUAGGCGGCUUUCUAAGUCGGGGGUGAAAUCCUGGAGCUCAACUCCAGAACUGCCUUCGAUACUGGAGAGCUUGAGUCCGGGAGAGGUGAGUGGAACUGCGAGUGUAGAGGUGAAAUUCGUAGAUAUUCGCAAGAACACCAGAGGCGAAGGCGGCCUGCUGGGCUGCACCUGACGCUGAGCCGCGAAAGCCAGGGGAGCGAACGGG
rnacentral:rRNA from 1 species